GUUGGCCUAUGAUGACAUCACAAACUGUAAACGUGAAUGAUUACUUGGCGGGUGAGAAAUGAACAUGUUAUAACGGUUAUCUAAUACCAAACCAAAAUGUGAAGAAGCAAGUAAAAGACGAGAAAGGCCCUACGCUAUAGAGAAAAUUCAAAUGAAGGAAAGAAAGUAAAACCCUCCUCCAAGUACUUUUUUCCUCUAAUUUUCUUCUUUAUUUUGAUCAUCAUUCACAUGACGCAACCCAAAUCUUUUUCUCACUUUUGCCUCACAAGUUAUUAUUAAAGUAUUUAGAAAAGAAACAAAAACAAAAUAUAGAGAGCUGCGAAUUCGGCUGCCAUGUAAGCAUAAACACAACACAAAGCAUGAUUGUGGUGUCAGGAGACUAGCUUUUGUGGCUCUAUAUAAGAGACUCUAUCUUCGUUUUGUUCUCUUUGUCCCUCUCUACCUUUCUUACAAAUCUCUCUCCUUUUACAAAUAUAUAAACACACUUCACUUCCUCUUCACCCCAUUCGAACACUCUUUACCUAAAGAGCAAGGUUUAUCGAAAUGGAGAGGCUAAACUCGAAGCUGUACUUGCAAAAUUGUUUUAUAAUAAAGGAGAAUGAAAGGUUGAGGAAGAAAGCUCAGAUUCUGAACCAGGAGAAUCAACAGCUUCUCUUUGAGCUCAAACAGAAGCUCUCCAAAACCAAGAACUCUAGUGGAUCAAACCAAGGAAGCAAUAACAACAUCUCUUCCUCAAGCUCUGCUUCUGGACAGUCUUGAUGCAGCAAAACUCUUAGGACAAGAAUUGGAUUUGCUAAGACUGAAAAAUCAUCAUGACCCUGCUCAAUUAGAAGAAUCCAUCUUUUCGUAUUUCUUCUUUUUAUCAGUGUAGUGUAAGAAAUUAGUAAAGGGUUAGUGGUGUUAUUAAGGUUAUAAACUAGUUCUUUUGUUGUUUAAUUUUAUUUUAAUUUGUGGGUUCUCUAUUUUGUUUACUACAAAAAGGACAAAAGUGUUGUGUCUCUCUGCCUAUCUUCUCAGAGGGAUAUUUCACUUUUGUUUCCAUUUAUAUGUUAAUUAGUUGCCCUUUUCAUGUGGGGUUUGGUUCUUUAGGAUUUGGUGGAUUCUGGGACUACAUUGUACUACCUUCUGCUCCUCUUAAACAACCAGUAUCUUUAUUAUUUUUA